UACGUAGGGUGCGAGCGUUAAUCGGAAUUACUGGGCGUAAAGCGUGCGUAGGCGGUUCGUUAAGUUCGUUGUGAAAGCCCCGGGCUCAACCUGGGAAUGGCAAUGGAAACUGGCGGGCUGGAGUAUGGCAGAGGGGGGUGGAAUUCCGCGUGUAGCAGUGAAAUGCGUAGAGAUGCGGAGGAACACCGAUGGCGAAGGCAGCCCCCUGGGCCAAUACUGACGCUCAGGCACGAAAGCGUGGGAAGCAAACAGG
rnacentral:rRNA from 1 species